GCAAACUUGGUCAUUUAGAGGAAGUAAAAGUCGUAACAAGGUUUCCGUAGGUGAACCUGCGGAAGGAUCAUUAACAAAUCCGUGCUGGUUGCAUCGUGCGUGCUGCACAAUCGGUGCAAUUACGCUUGUUCCAUGUGCACUUUCUGCACAUUGCGAUACAUUUCUGCGAAUCGUCUGAUUGUCAUUCAAUGUCAAUAUCAACUUUUAACAAUGGAUCUCUAGGCUCCUGCAUCGAUGAAGAAAAAGUCGUAACAAGGUUUCCGUAGGUGAACCUGCGGAAGGAUCAUUAACAAAUCCGUGCUGGUUGCAUCGUGCGUGCUGCACAAUCGGUGCAAUUACGCUUGUUCCAUGUGCACUUUCUGCACAUUGCGAUACAUUUCUGCGAAUCGUCUGAUUGUCAUUCAAUGUCAAUAUCAACUUUUAACAAUGGAUCUCUAGGCUCCUGCAUCGAUGAAGAACGCAGC
rnacentral:misc_RNA from 1 species